rnacentral:misc_RNA from 1 species
CCUACUUCCAGGAACCUAACUAAACAGAAAAUUAUCGGAAAAGUAAGUUUGGAUUUCCAACUCUCCGAAGAAUACAUGGUGGACUGAAUAAUUUAAUUAGAUCUUAUAGCAGGUUUCUAUAUUGAUAAUACAAGCUUGAGCCUGUUGAAGAGAAUAUUUGUUCAACCAUGGCACUCUGGGCAAAAGUCCAGCAGCUGCCACAGGAAGCACUGAGUCAAGUACAAAGUGCCUACAGCACAUAUUUUCCUUUGGAAGUGAGACAUUACUUUGCAUCAUGGAUUGAAGAGCAACCUUGGAAAGAUAUAGAUGACACUAACCCCCACCAUGAACAGUAUGCCAACCAGCUAUUUGCACAGAUUAUGGAAUUGAUAGAGGCUAAGGCCAAUGACAGUACCUUAGAGUUUCUGGUCAGAUUGAACUUCCAGAAUGUUGCUAAGCAAUUUAAGGAUGUGUACAGUAACCAGCCGAUGAACCUUGUUCGUAUUGUUCGCAACUGUUUGGUGAAUGAAGAGGACUUGGUCAGAACUGCAGAAUCUAUGUCACCCCUUAGUAUGACGUCAAUGCAAGCAACGCUUGAUGAUAAGACGAAACAAGAAAUAAAAUGUUGCAUGGAUCUCCUCGAUAAAAGAACAAAUGAAACAGAUCAGGAUUUGCGUCACAUGCAGCUCGUUCAGGAGAAAUUUGUGAUAGAUUAUCAAAACCAAGCAAAAAUUUCAGCAAACCUUACACAUGUACAGCAGCAGCCGCCAAGUGCAAGCCGUGCUGAAAUGGAGACUAAAUUGAAACAGGAGAAGGAAGAAAUGGAUCGACAGCUCCUUUCUUCAGCUCAACAGAUUCUUCAACAAAGACUGGCAUUAGCAAGUAAACAUAAAGACACAUUGACAACAUUAGAAACAUUAGCGAAGCAAGUUGUUGAUGAUGAAUUAAUUGCAUGGAAACAGAAGCAGAAACUGGCUCUCAACGGUGCAUCAUUUGAUGCUACUAUGAUUGAUGUUCUUCAGAAAUGGUGCGAGUCAUUAGCAGACCUUAUCUGGCGUAACAGAAUGCAAAUUAUCAAAGUAGAUUUGCUGCGACAACAGUUGCCAAUUGAUGUUCCCCAAAAUGUAACUGAUCUUCAACCGGACCUUAACCGUUUAGUAACUGGUCUUCUCUCAAACCUUGUCACUAGUACAUUUAUAGUAGAACAACAGCCACCACAAGUGUUGAAGAAAGAUUCUAGAUUUACAGCCACAGUGAGAUUAUUGGUUGGUGGGAAACUGAAUUUGCAGUUAACUCCCCCAAGAGUUAAAGCUACGAUAAUCAGUGAACAGCAAGCAAGAAGUUUGCUUCAAAAUGAGGAUGGUAGAAGACAUCAGAAAUGUGGAGAUAUUUUGAACAAUGAAGGCCCAAUGGACUACCAUCAGCAUUCAGGGCAGCUCAGUAUCACAUUUAGAAAUAUGUCAUUAAAGAAUAUCAAACGUGCUGAUAGAAGAGGGGCAGAGGUACAUACAGUAGCAGAGGAGAAAUUUUGUAUCUUUUUCUCUUCCGAUUUCAAUGUUGGUGGUAACGAGCUAAAGUUUCAGGUCUGGACGCUGUCAUUGCCGGUGGUGGUCACAGUUCACGGGAACCAGGAGUGCCAGGCAACAGCAACAUACCUCUGGGAUAAUCAGUUUUCAGAACCAGGUAGAACACCUUUCCAAGUGCCAGACAAAGUGCCCUGGUCAGAUUUGGCCAAAAUGUUGUCGACUAAAUUCUGUGCCAUGACAGGACGAGGACUUAGUGAUAGCAAUCUCAAAUAUCUCGGCAAUAAAUUGUUUGGAACAAGUGGUACAGUGGACUUCAGUAGUGCUGUUGUUACAUGGGCUCAGUUUAACAAGGAGAACUUGCCAGGAAGAAAUUUUACGUUUUGGGAAUGGUUCUGGUCAGUAGGCAAGCUGGUGAAGGAACACUUGAAGGGUCCAUGGACUGAUGGGCACAUAAUAGGCUUCAUGGAUAAAACCGAGUCUAAUGAUCUCUUGCUGUCUCAGCCUAACGGGACAUUUUUGUUACGGUUCAGUGACGGUACAGUAGGAGGGAUUACCAUAGCCUGGGUAGCCGAUCAGCCAGACAAACCGGGUGAGAGACAGGUAUGGAAUUUGGCACCCUUUACCAUCAAAGAUUUUGCAAUACGUGGUUUAGCAGAUCGUAUCAAGGAUUUGACUUCCCUCGUGACACUGCAUCCAGACAUUCCAAAAGACACAGCCUUUCAGAGAUACUAUUCUCCACCUACGUCAGAUACCACACCCAGUCUGGUGCAGGGAGGUUAUGUAAAAACUACACUCAUCAAUAUAAUUGACGGACAAGUGCCUACACAGCCAUCAGGAGUGGUAGAUUUUAACAACCCGCAGACACCACAGGCAUAUGCAGGACCUGCUUCUCCCCCUUCAUACCCGAAUCAGACAGUGACUGCUCGAGGAGAUGCAACUGAACCCUGUCUGUAAAAGUCACUAUUGGGGAACUGAAGAUAUUGGUCUUUGUUGGCAGGUGGUCUUUUAAUAUAGGAUGAUGGACUCCGUAAUUGAAGGGGGAGAAGUAGAUUUUGUCGGAGUGGCUUCUCCGGAGUAUGCAAAUGAAGACAUUGACCUGAACAGGAUCAAUGAGUGGCUGUCCACACAGGGAAACUUUCAGAAU